rnacentral:rRNA from 1 species
UCCAGACUCCUACGGGAGGCAGCAGUGGGGAAUAUUGCACAAUGGGGGAAACCCUGAUGCAGCGACGCCGCGUGAGCGAUGAAGUAUUUCGGCAUGUAAAGCUCUAUCAGCAGGGAAGAAAAUGACGGUACCUGACUAAGAAGCCCCGGCUAACUACGUGCCAGCAGCCGCGGUAAUACGUAGGGGGCAAGCGUUAUCCGGAUUUACUGGGUGUAAAGGGAGCGUAGACGGCUGUGCAAGCCAGAUGUGAAAGCCCGGGGCUCAACCCCGGGACUGCUCUUGGAACUGCGUGGCUGGAGUGCAGGAGGGGCAGGCGGAAUUCCUGGUGUAGCGGUGAAAUGCGUAGAUAUCAGGAGGAACACCGGUGGCGAAGGCGGCCUGCUGGACUGCAACUGACGUUGAGGCCCGAAAGCGUGGGGAGCAAACAGGAUUAGAUACCCGAGUAGG